rnacentral:rRNA from 1 species
UCCAAGCGUUAUCCGGAAUCAUUGGGUUUAAAGGGUCCGUAGGCGGUCUAAUAAGUCAGUGGUGAAAGCCCAUCGCUCAACGAUGGAACGGCCAUUGAUACUGUUAGACUUGAAUUAUUGGGAAGUAACUAGAAUAUGUAGUGUAGCGGUGAAAUGCUUAGAUAUUACAUGGAAUACCAAUUGCGAAGGCAGGUUACUAUCAAUAUAUUGACGCUGAUGGACGAAAGCGUGGGGAGCGAACAGG